rnacentral:rRNA from 1 species
GGGAGGCAGCAGUGGGGAAUCUUCCGCAAUGGACGAAAGUCUGACGGAGCAACGCCGCGUGAGUGAUGAAGGCCUUCGGGUCGUAAAGCUCUGUUAUUAGGGACGAAUGUACCUUAUGUGAACAAUGUGAGGUAGUGACGGUACCUAAGGAGGAAGCCACGGCUAACUACGUGCCAGCAGCCGCGGUAAUACGUAGGUGGCAAGCGUUGUCCGGAAUUAUUGGGCGUAAAGCGCGCGUAGGUGGGAUCAUAAGUCUUAUGUAAAAGUGCGGGGCUCAACCCCGUAAAGCGUGAGAAACUGUGAUUCUUGAGUGCAGGAGAGGAAAGCGGAAUUCCCAGUGUAGCGGUGAAAUGCGUAGAUAUUGGGAGGAACACCAGUGGCGAAGGCGGCUUUCUGGACUGUGUCUGACACUGAGGCGCGAAAGCCAGGGUAGUGAACGGGAUUAGAUACCCCGGUAGUCA